rnacentral:tRNA from 1 species
GGGGAUAUGGUUUAGUGGUAUAAUGCUUCUUUAGCACUUGAGUUUGGUACUCUGGUAAUAUAGAAGAGGUCCGGCGUUCGAUUCGCCGUUUCUCCA